UAAAUACCAUGUUUGUUAUCCGGAGAAGAACCCACGAUACGAACUAACUAAAGUCACGUAAACCUACACAUCAAUACAUUUACUCAAGUAAAGAUGACAAGCAUAUGUGAAGAUCCAGGUAAAAGCUCGUGGCCAGAGUUGAUGGGAACAAAAGGAGAAUAUGCAAAAGAAGUGAUCGAAAGAGAGAACCCCAAAAUGAAAGCAGUUAUCAUUUUGGAUGGAACAGCUGUUCCUGAGAUCUUUAUUUGCUCUCGUGUUUAUGUUUGGGUCAACGAUUGCGGAGUCGUUGUUCAAAUUCCCAUAAUCGGUUGAUUAUUAUUAUUAUAAUACGGUAUAUAUAUCAAAUGUUACGUAACGUACUCCAUAAAAAAUAGCGAGUAUAAAUUAUCGUUUGUUUGUAUGACAAUGUAAUAAUAAAGAGAUUGUUAUGGUCUCUAGUUGUGUGCGAUCAUGCUAUUGGUAAAUAAAACUGAAGAUUGUGGUGAUACUUUUA